rnacentral:rRNA from 1 species
CCAAUAGCGUAUAUUAAAGUUGUUGCAGUUAAAAAGCUCGUAGUUGAAUUUCGGGAUCAAUAUGUCGGUCGUGCCUUCGGUACGUACUGGUAUCAUUGGUCUCUCCUUUCUGACGAACCAUGAUGUCAUUAAUUUGGUGUUAUGGGGAGUUAGGACUGUUACUUUGAAAAAAUUAGAGUGUUUAAAGCAAGCUAACGCUUGAAUACAUUAGCAUGGAAUAAUGAAAUAGGACGUUCGAUCCUAUUUUGUUGGUUUCUAGGAUUGACGUAAUGAUUAAUAGGGAUAGUUGGGGGCAUUAGUAUUCAAUUGUCAGAGGUGAAAUUCUUGGAUUUAUUGAAGACUAACUACUGCGAAAGCAUUUGCCAAGGAUGUUUUCAUUAAUCAAGAACGAAAGUUAGGGGAUCGAAGACGAUCAGAUACCGUCGUAGUCUUAACCAUAAACUAUGCCGACUAGGGAUCGGAUGAUGUUAAUUUUUUAAUGACUCAUUCGGCGCCUUACG